ACUCAAAUGAAUUGACGGGGACCCGCACAACCUGUGGAGCGUGUGGUUCAAUUCGAGACAAAACGAAGGACCUCACCAGGGCUUGACAUGCAAUCGUACAUUUCCCAAGAAACUGGGAGAAAUCCGCAAGGAUGAUUGCACAGGUGCUGCAUGGCUGUCGUCAGCUCGUGCCGUGAGGUGUUCCCUUAAGUGGGGAAACGAGCGCAACCCCCAUUCAAUGUUAAAUUAUUCAUUGGAAACUGCUCUUGUUUUACAAGAGAGGAAGGAGGGGUAGACGUCAAGUCAGCACGGCCCUUAUGCCCUGGGCCACACACACACUACAAUGGCGAAAAACAACGGGUUGCAACAUGGCAACAUGAAGCUAAUCUCUCAAAUUUCGCCUCAGUUCAGAUUGGGGUCUGAAACCCGACCCCAUGAAGCCGGAAUAGGUAGUAAUCGCGGAUCAGCAAGCCGCGGUGAAUACGUUCUCGGGUCUUGUACACACCGCCCGU
rnacentral:rRNA from 1 species